AUUGAACGCUGGCGGCAGGCCUAACACAUGCAAGUCGAGCGCGCGGCGGACGGGUGCGUAAUGUCUGGGAAACUGCCUGAUGGCGGGGGAUAUCUACUGGAAACGGUAGCCAAUACCGCAUACCAUCAGAUGUGCUCAGACGGGAUAAGAUAGUAGGUGGGGUACCGGUUCACACAGGCGACGAUCCCUAGCUGGUCUGUGAGGAUGACCAGCCACACUGGAACAGAGAUAAGGGCCAGACUCCUACGAGAGACAGCAGUGGGUAUUAUUGCACGAGGGGCGCAAGCCGGAUGCGGCGAUGCCGGGUGUAUGAAGGAGACCUUCGGGUUGUAAGGCACUAUCAGCGGGUUGGCGUUACCCGCAGAAGAAGCACCGGCUAACUCCGUGCCAGCAGCCGGGGUAAUUC
rnacentral:rRNA from 1 species